CCUACGGGUGGCAGCAGUGGGGAAUAUUGGACAAUGGGGGGAACCCUGAUCCAGCGACGCCGCGUGAGUGAAGAAGUAUUUCGGUAUGUAAAGCUCUAUCUGCAGGGAAGUAAGAAAUGACGGUACCUGACUAUGAAGCCCCGGCUAACUACGUGCCAGCAGCCGCGGUAAUACGUAGGGGGCAAGCGUUCUCCGGAUUUACUGGGUGUAAAGGGAGCGUAGACGGCGAUGCAAGUCUGAAGUGAAAGGCGGGGGCCCAACCCCCGGACUGCGUUGGAAACUGUAUGGCUGGAGUGCAGGAGAGGUAAGUGGAAUUCCUAGUGUAGCGGUGAAAUCCGUAGAGAUCUGGAGGAACAUCAGUGGCGAAGGCGGCCACCUGGACCGGUAUUGACGCUGAGGCGCGAAAGCGUGGGGAGCAAACAGGAUUAGAUACCCUAGUAGUC
rnacentral:rRNA from 1 species